UUUGGUCAUAUCGAGUUUCUAGUAUGCGAGGAGGGAGAAGUCGUAACAAGGUAGCCGUAGGGGAACCUGCGGCUGGAUCACCUCCU
rnacentral:rRNA from 1 species